rnacentral:tRNA from 1 species
UCAUCAUGGUUCAAUGGUUCAGCGUCUGGCCGUAAACGCGAAGGUUGUGCGUUCGAUUUCCACUUGGGUGAA